rnacentral:rRNA from 1 species
UACGGAGGGGACUAGCGUUGUUCGGAAUUACUGGGCGUAAAGCGCACGUAGGCGGAUUUGUAAGUCAGGGGUGAAAUCCCGGGGCUCAACCCCGGAACUGCCUUUGAUACUGCAAAUCUCGAGUCCGGAAGAGGUGAGUGGAAUUCCUAGUGUAGAGGUGAAAUUCGUAGAUAUUAGGAAGAACACCAGUGGCGAAGGCGGCUCACUGGUCCGGUACUGACGCUGAGGUGCGAAAGUGUGGGGAGCAAACGGG